rnacentral:rRNA from 1 species
AGAGUUUGAUCCUGGCUCAGGAUGAACGCUAGCUACAGGCUUAACACAUGCAAGUCGAGGGGAAACGACAUCGAAAGCUUGCUUUUGAUGGGCGUCGACCGGCGCACGGGUGAGUAACGCGUAUCCAACCUGCCCACCACUUGGGGAUAACCUUGCGAAAGUAAGACUAAUACCCAAUGAUAUCUCUAGAAGACAUCUGAAAGAGAUUAAAGAUUUAUCGGUGAUGGAUGGGGAUGCGUCUGAUUAGCUUGUUGGCGGGGUAACGGCCCACCAAGGCAACGAUCAGUAGGGGUUCUGAGAGGAAGGUCCCCCACAUUGGAACUGAGACACGGUCCAAACUCCUACGGGAGGCAGCAGUGAGGAAUAUUGGUCAAUGGGCGAGAGCCUGAACCAGCCAAGUAGCGUGCAGGAAGACGGCCCUAUGGGUUGUAAACUGCUUUUAUAAGGGAAUAAAGUUAGUCUCGUGAGACUUUUUGCAUGUACCUUAUGAAUAAGGACCGGCUAAUUCCGUGCCAGCAGCCGCGGUAAUACGGAAGGUCCGGGCGUUAUCCGGAUUUAUUGGGUUUAAAGGGAGCGUAGGCCGGAGAUUAAGCGUGUUGUGAAAUGUAGACGCUCAACGUCUGCACUGCAGCGCGAACUGGUUUCCUUGAGUACGCACAAAGUGGGCGGAAUUCGUGGUGUAGCGGUGAAAUGCUUAGAUAUCACGAAGAACUCCGAUUGCGAAGGCAGCUCACUGGAGCGCAACUGACGCUGAAGCUCGAAAGUGCGGGUAUCGAACAGGAUUAGAUACCCUGGUAGUCCGCACGGUAAACGAUGGAUGCCCGCUGUUGGUCUGAAUAGGUCAGCGGCCAAGCGAAAGCAUUAAGCAUCCCACCUGGGGAGUACGCCGGCAAUGGUGAAACUCAAAGGAAUUGACGGGGGCCCGCACAAGCGGAGGAACAUGUGGUUUAAUUCGAUGAUACGCGAGGAACCUUACCCGGGCUUGAAUUGCAGAGGAAGGAUUUGGAGACAAUGACGCCCUUCGGGGCCUCUGUGAAGGUGCUGCAUGGUUGUCGUCAGCUCGUGCCGUGAGGUGUCGGCUUAAGUGCCAUAACGAGCGCAACCCCUCUCCUUAGUUGCCAUCAGGUCAAGCUGGGCACUCUGGGGACACUGCCACCGUAAGGUGUGAGGAAGGUGGGGAUGACGUCAAAUCAGCACGGCCCUUACGUCCGGGGCUACACACG